rnacentral:lncRNA from 1 species
CAGAGGGCUCUCACCGGGCACUGAAUCCACCAAUGGCGUGAUCCUGGACUUCCUGCCUCCAGAACUGUGAGAAAUCAAUGUUAAGCCAGCCCGCCUCCCCCCACCCCCACUUCCCGCCUCAGUUCUGUUCCCUGAUCCCCAGCCCGGGCCCCUCCGAGGGCUGUUCCCUCUGGGAAGUCUCAGCCCCCUGGGGCCCAGGAUCGGAUAUUAGCCCAAGCCUCUGCCCCUUCCCAGCUGCCCUGCCUUCGGGAUGAUGUCCAGAUUCUGACGGUCCUGCAGUCCUGGCAGGUUGUGACCGACCUGCUGUCCCGCCUGAGCUGUCACCCCUGCUCCUGUCACAGCACUCCUGACCGACCUGCUUGCUGCUCCACAGAGUUCUCUCCCGUGCGGGGUGGGGGUUUGCUUCUGUCCAUCCUGCUCUCGGGGGCUCCCUUCAUCCUCCUUUCGUGGCCUGGUCCUUCUUUGUCCCCAAUCUCAAAUGUCACUUCUGCUAAAAUCUCCCCUGGCCCACCUGGGCCCCCUCUCCCCAGAGUCUCCCCUUCAGAGCCACAAGCACCAGGCUGGGCUGCCUCCUGGUCGAAUCCUUUGAGCUUUGCAGCCCCUGCGGCGGCCCCGCCAGGGGAGCUUUCAUCACAGACCGGGCCUGGCAGGUGGGGCCAUGUCCAGGGGGCAGAUGGCCCUGCCCCCACUAGGACACCAGGGUAGAGGCUCUCCGAGCGUGGACCAUGAUAUCAGUGCCACUGGGACGGUCACGGGUGAAGAUUCUCAGACCUCAUCCAGGCCGGUGAAUCAGAAGCCCCGGGGAGGUGUGCUCCUGCAAGCCCCCCAGGGGCUUCUGAUGCCGGCCAGGUAUGAGAGCCCCGGGCCGGGGAGAGAACUGCCAGGAUGAGCUGCCGCCCCCUUGGCAGCCUCCCCUGUCCCCUGUGCACUCAGGUCUCCACGUCAGCAUCCGAAGCCUCUGUGUCCUGAAGGCGCACUCCGAGGAGACGGUUUGCCACCAAAGCUUAAAGCCAGGUGUCAAUAAACCCACUGGGGACCAGGCCGGACGGACUUUGGAAGAAAAGGUGCUGCGUGCCCUUCAGCAGUUCCAGCGAAAGACCCAUCAGUUGGUGCCUCAGUCCCCUGGGCUUCCAGCCAAGCACACCUGACUGGAUUAAUGAGCAUCUGGUUGGGGAAGAAAAGUAGCCAGAGGCGGCAGGACAUUUGUGAGAGAAGCGGGGGACACCAUUCACCAGCAAGAACAGCAGCAUAAGCCGGCGUGAACUCCAACCAUCCUGGGCAAGUGCCCGGGGGUCCCCUGGCUUGGAACCAGUUGAAGCUGAUUAUGAGAGAUUCCACUGUCAUGCUGCAACCAAGCAAAAACACAAUAUGCACAGUUGCUAGAAAAGUCACCCCUCCGUUGACUGUUGUCUGUGUGCAUCAGAAAGGUGAUGCCACAGACCUGUGGUGAGGGCAAGGUGGAAUGAGACAAGAGUGACAGUUUGGCGUGGAGGGUGGCAUUUGGCUACGUAAGGACACAGCGCGGACCCAAUUACAACUGAGGCCAGAGCCAUUAUAUCCCAGGGUCAAAACGGGGACCCUGCUGUUCCCCUGCUCCAAGCCUCUAAGCAGUCCCCAUGGUUGACUGAGAGAAGCAGGCCACCUGCACUGAAGACUUGCUCUCCGGGCCCCAUCCUGGAAGCACAGGCCUCCUCCCAGCUGGCCUCCAGGAUGUCUCACCCCUGCGCCUCUGCUCCAUGGUGUAUGGAAGUUCCCAGGCUAGGGGUUGAAUUGAAGCUGCAGCUCAGACUCAGCCAGAUCUGAGCCACAUCUGUCACCAACACCACAGCUCACGGCAACACUGGAUCCUUAACCCACUGAGCAAGGCCAGGGAUGCUAGUUGGGUUCGUUACUACCGAGCCACCACGGGAGCUCCAGGUGAUCCUUUUGAGGAAAGGAAUUGAGGUUAUUUAAUUGGGGGAGGGUCAGGAGUGCCUGAGCCCCGUCUUGACGUGGUUAUCAAGGUUGGGAAAGAUGUUGUCUGCUCGUCUCCUGUUUUUGCAAAAAGCCACUCAGAUUGAGUUCCAGGAAGGACUGUCUUGCAUGAUGACACAUUUCGGCCGGGUCCCUAUUUGUGACAGACCCAGGGGAGCAAGCUAGAUUCCAGGGCGAAGCGGCUAAUUCCAACUGGGACGGGGGACUUCAGACGCCAGCCUCCUCUCUGAAGGGGACGCUGGGACAGUCUGGGGAGAGAAACCCGAGGCCUUCGGUUUGUGAACAAGCUGGCGGGAACCGCCAGGACGAAGGUGUGGCGAGCGGCCCAGGACAGGGAGGCGGGAAUCUAAAGCUGAUGCGACAGAGACUCGACCCUCUGCUCUGCUUCUGCUUGAAGGUGGGUGGGCGACAGCUGUGGCAGGGGGACACCACUGGACAGACAGGCACUCUCGUGAUCCUCAGCGCCUUGGAGCCUAGAGGGGCAGGGAGGGUCCUGUCGGGGCCAGAUGUCCUUAAGAAGAGACAGAAAAAGAACCUCUGCGUGCCCACUACGGGACGGAAGUCGCCUCCCUCCCCUCCUUCCUUCCCUCCGAUUCAUUCAUUCAUUCCUUCGACCUGAGCCUCGGUGCUGUGGCAGCUGCCAGCACAGAAGCAGAGCAGGGAAAGAUGAGAGGCGAGGCGGAUGAACAAGUGCAUUGUGGGGCCGUAUGAGAGGUGCGUGGAGGCUUCGUGGAGGGGCUCUGGAGGAAGUGAACAAGGAGGAGCUGGUCAGGGAAGAGGACUGGAGCGAGCAGGCCCGUCACGCACCCCAUCAGCCCCAGCCCUGGUCCCGACGAGGACACCGAGGUUCAGGGUGGACCUCGGAAUCACGGCUGGCAUGUCGCAGGAUUCCAGGGCAGUUUUCUUGACUCUGAGGGGAGCGGGCUCUCCAGCAGGCUGCAGAACCUUCGGCUGGGUGAUUUUUGCCGAAGCCUUUGGCCCCGGCCCUGCAGCCUGCCAUUGGCUCUCUUUCAGGGUCACGGGAGGGAGAAACCCUUUGCUCUGAACGCUGGUUUCCCUUCCUGUUUCGCUUCAGUGGGCAUUACAGGCUCUGAAUGGGGAGCCUGAGCCCUUGGCUCCCAUGGGCUGGUGGUUUGGAAAGCAAAGCAGCGCACGCAUGUGGCCGGCCACGCUGGCAGGGCUGCGGUCCCCAGAGGACACUCGGUCCACAGCAGACACCCCCCGCCGCCCCCUGCCACCCCCUGCCCACCCCACACAUGCUCAGGGCAGAUCUCUGACAGGGAGGCUUUCUGCAAGCCCAGUCUCCUCGGGGCUGUGCUGUCUGGCCCGCAGGACUCAGUGGAUUCUCUUUUACUGAAAUACACAUUUCAAAUAUUUUGUGGCUUCUCGUACAUUUUGUUUAAAAUGAGUUGAAGUUGGAACCUACGAGAGAUAUUUGAAAAAUCUUCCUUAAACACUGAAAAAAAAAAAAAAAAA